rnacentral:lncRNA from 1 species
CAAGGGCGGCCAGGAGAUCAGAAUGAGGGUCGAAAAGCCAAUUAAAUGAAGAUUUGUUUACCUCGAGAAAGGACCCUAGGGAGUCCCAAACCCGCUGUUCGGGAUCGACGCGAUCAAUCCUCUCGAUGACCUCGGGCAAGAUGCAGCCGUCAAUCAGCCACUUUAUCAAGUCCCUGUCAUUGAAGGGAUUAUCCCCCGGCUCUUCUUCAGAACCAUGGGACUCUUCGAUGGCGGCCCGACGGCUACUCACCCUGUGGGCCACCGACUUUCUUCUCCUCCCCCUCUCGACCUCGGGCACCUCCACGGAACGGACCCCCGGAAUGGGAACC